rnacentral:sRNA from 1 species
UACUAUUGCAUGGUGUACUCCUGGAGGU